ACUACCCAGUGCUCUGCCUUAGUGGCCUCCAUCAAGACUCUGCAAAGGAAAAAUUUGCAUCCAGAUUUCCACAAACUUGAAUAUGUGUCAGGAUAUUAUGGCUUAGGCUGGCAGCUGGAGCAGGUUGCUGUUGAUCCCUUUGUACUUCAGUGCUUCUGUUACAUGAACCAGCCAAACAUCAGAAGGAACACUCUGCAGAUGCACAUUGAAGAUUGUCUGUGAAGAACUGCAAAGGGUUUGGUAUGUGUGGUUAUCAGCAGAGUAGAGCACAGAUGACACUGACUUCCACAGCUCCAUUUGCUGGACAAGACCUUGGCUUUGGUAAGUUUUAAUCCACAGUAAUUUUCUAAGGUGUUAGGAGGACAAGGUGGAAGCGAGGCAUGGAAGGGGUAUUUCAGCCCACCAUGGAACUGUGAUGGACUCAGCUGGAGGAGUGGGCAGCAAAAAUUGGCAUAACUUGUGGUGGGAAGGCCAGUAGAAAUGUACAGCACCAGGGCAGAUGGUUGAGAUGGCUUUGAAGGCUGAGGGUGUCAAUGAAAAGCUGUGAUGCUUGAUGAAAUAACACUUGUCAGUGGUGUGGCAAAUGUAGCUGGAGCUGGGUACAGGCAUGUGUCAGAGUGGAUAGGCAAAGCCAGAACAACAGAAUAGCACAUAACAAUAAUUCAGAAUUCUGGAGCAGUGAUGUAGUGCCAAAGGUCAGCAAUGACACCAGAGUCAAAUGUGUUCACUAGGGAAGAAGCUGCCUUGACAGGUUAGCUUAACUCAGGUGUGCUGAACUGAGUCAGCCAAGGGAUAAAAAAUGGGUAAGGCCCGAGCAGAGUUAAUGUGGGCAGCAGAAAGAAGAGGAUGAGGAAUAUAUCCAAGGCCAAAGGAUAGA
rnacentral:lncRNA from 1 species